CAGUGGCGAACGGGUGAGUAACACGUGGGCAAUCUGCCCUGCACUCUGGGACAAGCCCUGGAAACGGGGUCUAAUACCGGAUAUUACCUUCCCCUGCAUGGGGGUUGGUGGAAAGCUCCGGCGGUGCAGGAUGAGCCCGCGGCCUAUCAGCUUGUUGGUGGGGUAAUGGCCUACCAAGGCGACGACGGGUAGCCGGCCUGAGAGGGCGACCGGCCACACUGGGACUGAGACACGGCCCAGACUCCUACGGGAGGCAGCAGUGGGGAAUAUUGCACAAUGGGCGAAAGCCUGAUGCAGCGACGCCGCGUGAGGGAUGACGGCCUUCGGGUUGUAAACCUCUUUCAGCAGGGAAGAAGCGAAAGUGACGGUACCUGCAGAAGAAGCACCGGCUAACUACGUGCCAGCAGCCGCGGUAAUACGUAGGGUGCGAGCGUUGUCCGGAAUUAUUGGGCGUAAAGAGCUCGUAGGCGGCUUGUCACGUCGGGUGUGAAAGCCCGGGGCUUAACCCC
rnacentral:rRNA from 1 species